AUUCUUCAGUCAAUGUCUCUUUAAAGUGACGUGCAGAAAAGACUCCACAACCAUAGGGUUGUAAGUAGGUAUACUUCUAUUGCGGUGCACCGGGCACACAGGGAAUAGCUUUCCUCAAAAAGUGCGCCCCUGCCCGGUCGUCUCUCACAAUUUUAUACAUGAAUACUGUUACAUAUUACAUGAGCUCUCAUACAUGUUCAUUCUUUCCCCCCAAAAGGCGGACCUCUUCCAAGUACUCAUUUCCAUACUCCCCGCCCUUAGCUCCUCCCGGUUGUGCCUGUGCAAUGUAGCCUGGUGGUCGUGGGCAGGGGUCUUUCAGGAUGAAGGCAAUGAGGAAGAGGAGGUUAAAUUUUUUACCUUUCUGGACUUUGACCUUCUGUUGGACAGUAUUUAGGCCUUUUCUUGCUUAUCUUUGCCUUGUUUCCUGCCAACAAAUGGUUCAUCCUUCCCUAAUGAGUUGUUUGUUGUUCCCUCAUCCAUUGGCCUUGAGCGCUAUCUUCCUUUUUACAGCUGCUUCUCAUAAGGUUCUCAUCUACAUCCCUGAUAAUUAGGGUAUUUUUAGGUUCUCAUCUACAUCCCUGAUAAUUAGGAUAUUUUACCAUAUAUGUAGCUAAAUAUUAAUUUGGAUAAGUUUUAUCAUCUUUCCCAUCUCAA